GAAUGCGAGGGUGAUCUGGUUGUCACAUCUGUCACAUUGAGCACCAAAGUUGAUUCAGCUGAUCUGGUUGGCUAGGUGGAUGUCCCCUUCUUCCCUUAUUGCUCCAUGGCUGUCCCUCCUGACCUAUGUGCUCAAUUCAAGAGGACAACCUUUCCUGAUAGAGGAGGACUAUUCUUCAUUCAAGGUUAUAUGAGAAACUGCGCUCCCUCGCUUCAGCCUCCAAACAGGCUCUCAUGAAAGGUUGCUGGUUAAAGAAAGGACUUUCCAAAUGUUCCGGGAAUCACACUCUGUCAGCUCCUGUGGUG
rnacentral:snRNA from 1 species